CUUAUCUUCAACCCCCCAAUAUCUCUCCCUCUCUUACCAAAAGGAUUUUUAUUUUACUUGGUUUCAGAAUGAUUCAUUGCAUAAUCCAUAUCAUACACCCUAAGCUUUUCAUUGAAUAUUUAUUAAUACGUUACUUAGUAUUAUAGAAAAGUGUAACCUAAACCCCAGCAAACAGACUAGUCUCAUCUAUUGUACCAUGGGUACAAAUCCACUACAUCAAGAAGUAUAUGACAUGAUUCAGCAAGAUGAUUGGAGAGAGAUCUUAAAAUGGAUUAAAACGUCACCUAUGAUGAUAGAUUUAAUCUUAAAAGCACCCAAAGGGGUAAUGAGAGAUCCAUUACUACAUCUAUUGAUUGCAUACGAUGAGACAAAUCUAGCACUAGAUGUAAUUGCAGAAAUGGAUACAAAAGAUCUAAGGAUGAAGAAUUUUAAUAAUGACACAGCUCUACACAUCGCAGCUGCUAAAGGAGACCAGAAAGUAGCGAAGGCUUUGCUUGACCGUGAUGUUGAACUUCACAACAUGAUAAACUCUGACGGAGAGAUCCCUCUACAUAGAGCUGCCCUAAAUGGAAUGAAAAAAAUGUUUUAUGAACUUUACAUCCCACAAAGCAACUUAAUGGUCAGAAGAUCUGACGGGGCUACCGUUUUACACUGUGCGGUCAUGGGCUAUCAUUUUGAACUUGCAGCUGAAAUAGUCGUAUUGGCGCCAGACUUGAUAUUUGCACGAGAUCAACUAGGUCUCACUGUACUUCACCACAUGGUCUCUAUUCCGGAUGCCUUCCCCAAUGGAUGCUACUUGGGUGUGCUUGAUUCACUGCUUUACAGAUGUAUUAUCUCUGAAAAGAAAGAGACUGCUCACCAACCCAUACGGAAGAACCUAUCGUAUAUGGAGAGCAUGGGACUAUCGGACCUUGAUGAUAUGUCCUUCAUGUUUCAUGGGGACACUGAUGAAGAGAUGUAUCACAAAGUCCAACAAGAAAAUCCUCGCAAAACUUCUGGGGAUGGUGCCCGUCCAAUUUCAGAAAUGGACGACGACGAAGAAGACUCUCAUCGGAUCUCAGUUGCCCCUGAUGAUGAUGAUGAUGAUGAUGCUACCGAUCAAAUAAAGAAAAGAAAAGGACACCAUGAUGAGAGGAAUUCAAGAGGACUUUUUGACAGCGACAUUGAUAGGGAUGAGAAGGUCACUCUCUUCCGAAAAUUCUCAAAGCCUUUAGAAAAAUGGAUAAAGCGUCGGGUCUACCACAUGAUAAAAAGAGCAAAAUACUGGGAUAAGCUUAUUGAUCUAAGAAAGCGACAUGAUAGCGCAGUUGAAUUGUUGUGUACUAUUGCUAAGAACAAAGAAUAUUGGUUGUCGUUAUCUCGUGGAAGUGCCCCUACUGAUCACCAUGGAAGUUCUUUAGCCCUUGAACAAAGAAAGCAUGACAAAUCGAUUGAUAAGUGGAUGGAGACUCCACUAACACUGGCUGCUACAAUGGGUCUCAGUGAGUUGGUUAAAUCGAUCGUACUAAAGCAUCCAGCAUCAGCAACAUAUCGUGGAAAUGAAGGAAAGAAUCUGCUUCAUGUAGCCGCUGAGAGUCGUCAAGAAAAGAUUCUUGAGAUCUUAGAGUUGGUAAAAGUACAGGACCCUAGAGUGCCUUAUCGACUGGAAAUGUCGAAGGACGACAAUAGUAACACUAUUCUGCACUUAGCUGCAUUGGCAAACAAUCAACCAAGCUCUCCUUUGCAGAUGGAAAAAGAAUUCCAAUGGUUUGAGCGAGUGAGACGUAUUCUUCCGAAGGAUUUAGUGAACCACCGUAACAAGGAUGGGAAAACAGCUAAAGAAGUAUUCACAGAGAGCCAUGAGAAGAUGGUGGAGGAUGCAAAAAACCAAUUAAGAGGCACUGCAACUUCUUGUUGCUCUGCGCUGGUGUCUGCUGUGACAUUUGCAGCCGGUUUUUCCAUUGCCAAUGAUAAGGACCAAAAGCAACAAAAUCUGGAUCGUCGUACUAGGAUCGUCUUGAAGAUAUUCUCUCACGCAUACAUGUUUGGGUUAUCAUGCACGGCCAUUGCUCUAGUGCAAUUUAUGGCUCUUUUAAUGGCUUCAUAUGAGGAAGAGGACUUCAGAUACUCCUUACCCAGGCAGUACAGGCUCGCCUUAGCUACACUAUUCACAGCAAUGGUGGCCAUGGUCAUAGCCUUCGGUUGCAAUACGUACAACAGCCUAUCUAAUGAACUCAGUCCUAACUGGGAAAACUACCUAUUUGUCUCCGUUGAAAUCCUCAUUGUCCCGUUCAUUUGUCUGCUAGUGAUGCGUUGUGGUGGCAUCAAAUUCCGCGUCAAAAAGAUAUAGCAAUUUGUUUCCAGAUUUCCUCCUCUAAUUAUGCCUCGAAGAUUCAUGGAGGUCUUCCCUACUGAGGGUUCAAUUUGGCGUCAAUAAUAUUACAAGUUUCUGGUUUGUGCAAGGGCCCACAGUAUAACUCUCCAUGACAUUAUUCGGCCACUUAAACUCAUCCAAACUAAUUAAUCCCGCAUUCUUCCUUCUCAUCACCGGCGUUGUCCUUGUUGAAUGUUUUUACGUAGAACGCCUAAUUAGCAUUGAAGUUGAGUUCACUUGUGUAGCUUCUCCAUGAUCUUCUUUGCAAUU